rnacentral:misc_RNA from 1 species
GUUUUCCAUAAGCCUAAUUGAAAACAUAGAUACUCUUCAAGAACACCCAACAUGAUCACUGCUGAUUUCUAAAUUGUCUAGGCAAAUAACUGUCAAGCUCCUCUACAGACCGUUUGGCAGUGUCAUAGGUUGUUGCCAGGAUGAUUGGCAAUGAUACCCCACAUAGAAAGGAACAAGGACCAAGGAAUCCAAAGCAGAAGAAGUUUUUCCUAAGCUAGGUUGUUAUGAUAAUAAGGAGAACAGGAGCUGUGGGAAUGUGUAGGAGAAUAUAUUGUAUAAAUAG